GAAUAUUUCUACAAAGAUACGCUGUGUUGAGGUAUUGUGUUGACCUUGAGAGCUGCUAAAAGGUCCUGUUAUUACUCCAUGCCCAGCAGGGCUUAGUCUUGUUCUCCUACAGCGUUUGUUUCUCUCUUAGAUCCUGCUGCUGCUGCUGCUGCUAAGUCACUUCAGUCGUGUCCGACUCUGUGUGACCCCAUAGAGGGCAGCCCACCAGGCUCUGCCUUCCCUGGGAUUCUCCAGGAACCGUCUUGGGACAAGAUCUGAAUAUCCAUCUAAAGUACCAUCUUCCAGCUAGAGCCAAGCAAGACGAUGGACAACUUCUGUCUAAAUCUCCAAACUCUGUCACAGUGCCUUAUGGAGAAACAAAUGAUUUAUUAACAAUAAUAAUAUGAAAAGG
ensembl:lncRNA